UACGUAGGGUGCGAGCGUUGUCCGGAAUUACUGGGCGUAAAGAGCUCGUAGGUGGUUUGUCGCGUUGUUCGUGAAAACUCACAACUCAAUUGUGGGCGUGCGGGCGAUACGGGCAGACUGGAGUACUGCAGGGGAGACUGGAAUUCCUGGUGUAGCGGUGGAAUGCGCAGAUAUCAGGAAGAACACCCGUGGCUAAGGCGGUUCUCUAGUACGGUACUGACGCUGAGACGCGAAAGCGUGGGGAGCAAACAGG
rnacentral:rRNA from 1 species